GGCUGUUCUGUGUGCAGCGGUGUUUACAAUUCCACCAGUUACAAAUGUAUUCAUUACUUCUCCACUCCCACUGCUUCACUUGACUAGCCUAAA
ensembl:Y_RNA Y_RNA Y RNA